rnacentral:rRNA from 1 species
AGAGUUGAUCCUGGCUCGGACGAACGCUGGCGGCGUGCCUAAUACAUGCAAGUCGAGCGAAUCUUUAGGAGCUUGCUCCUAAAGAUUAGCGGCGGACGGGUGAGUAACACGUGGGCAACCUGCCUAUAAGACUGGGAUAACUUCGGGAAACCGGAGCUAAUACCGGAUAAUCCUUUCCUUCUCAUGAAGGGAAGCUGAAAGACGGCUUUUAGCUGUCACUUAUAGAUGGGCCCGCGGCGCAUUAGCUAGUUGGUGAGGUAAUGGCUCACCAAGGCAACGAUGCGUAGCCGACCUGAGAGGGUGAUCGGCCACACUGGGACUGAGACACGGCCCAGACUCCUACGGGAGGCAGCAGUAGGGAAUCUUCCGCAAUGGACGAAAGUCUGACGGAGCAACGCCGCGUGAACGAUGAAGGCCUUCGGGUCGUAAAGUUCUGUUGUUAGGGAAGAACAAGUACCGGAGUAACUGCCGGUACCUUGACGGUACCUAACCAGAAAGCCACGGCUAACUACGUGCCAGCAGCCGCGGUAAUACGUAGGUGGCAAGCGUUGUCCGGAAUUAUUGGGCGUAAAGCGCGCGCAGGCGGUCUCUUAAGUCUGAUGUGAAAGCCCACGGCUCAACCGUGGAGGGUCAUUGGAAACUGGGGGACUUGAGUACAGAAGAGGAAAGCGGAAUUCCACGUGUAGCGGUGAAAUGCGUAGAGAUGUGGAGGAACACCAGUGGCGAAGGCGGCUUUCUGGUCUGUAACUGACGCUGAGGCGCGAAAGCGUGGGGAGCAAGCAGGAUUAGAUACCCUGGUAGUCCACGCCGUAAACGAUGAGUGCUAAGUGUUAGAGGGUUUCCGCCCUUUAGUGCUGCAGCUAACGCAUUAAGCACUCCGCCUGGGGAGUACGGCCGCAAGGCUGAAACUCAAAGGAAUUGACGGGGGCCCGCACAAGCGGUGGAGCAUGUGGUUUAAUUCGAAGCAACGCGAAGAACCUUACCAGGUCUUGACAUCCUCUGACACUCCUAGAGAUAGGACGUUCCCCUUCGGGGGACAGAGUGACAGGUGGUGCAUGGUUGUCGUCAGCUCGUGUCGUGAAAUGUUGGGUUAAGUCCCGCAACGAGCGCAACC